GAUGAGCUAAAGUAAAAUUAAGCUUCCAUAGAAUUUUUGUCCUCCAGGAUACUAGAAGAGUUGUAACUUUUCUGCUUUCUACUCCCAGAAAGAAUAUUUACACAGGAAAUUAGAAGCUAAUGAAACCAUUGGUGAUCUUUCUGUGCCAUUAUUUGAGCACAGAAUUGCAGAAGGAGCAUGUAUGUUUCUCAUUCUCAUAUUUGCAUCUCCAAAAUUUGAACAUGAAGAAUCAGCAGGCCCGGGAUGAAGCUCAGGCGUUCCACUGCCUGACUCACAAGCUCAAGGUCUGGAGUUUGAGUCCAGGUACAAAACAAACAAACAAAAAAAGCAGAAAAUUUACACAAGAAGUGUAAUUUAAUGAUGGAAAUUGUGAUAUGCUUCUAAUGACCCUCUGAAGAUCUUCAUGUCAUAGCCUCUGGAACAUGUGCCUGUAUUACCUUACAUAGCGAAAAUAACUUUACAGGUGUAAUUAACAUAAGGGUGCUGGGAUGAAGAGAUUAGCCUUUAUCCAUGUGAAAAAGAUGAGAAAAAAAGUUCCCGCCAGCCUCCAGAAAGAACACUGCCCUGCCAAAUUCUUGAUUCUUUGACUUCCUAAUAUUAGAAGUGUAAGGCAAAAAUUUUGUGUUGUUGUGAGUCAAUUUAUUUGCUACAACAACAAUAGAAAACUAAUAUAGGAAUGUGAGAUUACUUGAGUGAAGCCACCCAAAUUCCUUCUACAUAAGUCACUAAAGUCACUUUCCAACCUGAGAUCUGAGUCUAGAUCUAAUUUCCCUGAGGCUUCUCAGAUCUCUCCCAAUGAUGAAUGUUACUGUACUGUAUUCAUAAAAAGUACCAAUAAACUCAAUUAAAAAAGAAUAUAUCAUAGCAGCACAAUUUGUAAUAGCUAAAACUUUGAAACAGACCAUUUGCCCAUCAGUUGGAGAAUGGAUAAAGAAGAUGUGUUUUUUCUAUAAGAUGGAAUGCUAGUCAGCCAUAAAGAAUGAGAAAUUAGAGUCAUUCAUAGGAAAAUGGAUGCAUAUUGAGUUAUACUCUUAAGUGAAAUAAAUAAGUCACACAUGUGUAAAUACUGAGUAGUUUCUGUGGUGUGAAAACUAUAAUUGUAAAUAAGAUCCUAAUGGUAUAAUUGACAAUGUGUAAUAGAAGAAAAGGGCUAAAGGUAUAGGGGAAUUAGGAAGGGUAGGGGAAAAGAAAUAAGAGAAAAGAAAAAAGUAUGAGAAAAUGAAAAAAUGGAAAUAAAGUUUUUGUAAAUAGGAAAGGGAGGAGAGGGUGAAGGGAGGGCAGGGGUAAGGGGAAAAAAUGAGAACCAAGACCGUCAUGUAAAGGUACAAGAACCCAAUGAUGAAUGUAACUGUACUGUAUACUUAAAACAUAACAAUAAACUUAAUGAGAAAAAAAAGGAUACAUUAUGCAUAUUAAACAUACAGAGCUUUUACUAUUCCUUUUUUAUGAGUGAAAUUUUGGGCAUAUUUUAGUGGAAAUUGAUCAAGAG
rnacentral:lncRNA from 1 species